rnacentral:lncRNA from 1 species
UUAAAAAUUCAAAAUUCAAGUUUCUGUAUAAUAAAAUUGAAAAUAUUUAUUAAUUAAAUAUAAUAAAGUUAUAAUUACACGAUUAAUGAUCACAUAUUGAUAAUUAUUGGUCACAGAUUUACUUAUUGGUCACAUAUCAUUCAAUUAAUUGGUUACAGAUUAUUUCGAGGUCACAAAUCAAAAAUUUUGUAGGUCACAGAUUAUUUCGAAAUCACAGAUCAAAAAUUACAAGUCACAGAGUCACAUAAAUUCAAAUUUAUUGGUCACAUAUUCUAAAUAGUUGGCCACAUUUACCAAAUACCCCCACCGCAAAUUCUGAUCCAGCACCAAUUUUGGUCACAAAUCACCACCGCGCAAUUUCCACUUGCAUCACACCAUUGACUGCAACGUACCAACACCAAUUCAACAAAAAAACCACCACCACCAUCGUCGCCUACACUGCACCACCACCAAUUCAAAUUGUGCAUAGUUAACACCACCACCAAUUAGAUCAGAGCAGCACCAUCAUCGCCCUUGCCACCCAUCACAUCCACAACCACCGUCGCCACUUCCGUGACCACCAUCGCCAACCAACAUCACAGUCACCAUCACCCAAAAAGUAAAAGAAAACCCACCACCAUCGCACCCAAACUCCCAUCCAAAACCACCAUCACUAGAACAACAACCAACCAGAUCCAAUCACCUCCACCACAUUGCCAAAACCACUGCUGCUAGAACCACCACCACAACCACACAUCACCACCAACUCAACAGAUACAAUCGUUGAGACCAUCGCAUCACCAUCCAAAUCCACCGCAGCUAGAAUUACAACCUACCAGAUCCAAUUACAACCACCACAUCACCAAAACCACCGUCUGCAAAACGGACUCUGUAAGUGCAAUAGAUAGAAUAAUCGCUACAACCAUUAAUGACACGAUUUUUAUAUUACCGCUUUGGAAGCUAAUAUUUGUAAUAAGCCAAGAUGGUGACUCGGAGGGAUAGCAGGUUGCUACUUCAUCACCACCUCAACAGUUCCAAUUGACUGUAAGCACUGCGGAACUAUCCAGAAUCGAAUCCCAUCAACUGUAGUCAUAGUAGCAUCACUGCACUUGCUACGAACCACCAACUCCAUCAGCACUACCACGAUCCACUAACGCCAUCAGCAGCGUCGAUUGCGUAUGUCAGCGCGAUGAACGGCAACAUCGCUGCACGCAGAGUGAUAGAGAGGCAACUUUUUGCGAGCAGUGCGAUAGAGAGACUGCACCAUCUCCAGAUCGCGUAGCAGUAGAUCGCAACAGCAUCGUCGAGGGUGCUCUUCGAUGACAGCUUCUAGCUUCGACUUCCGUCAUUGUUGAAGUUUCUGCUACUCAUCGUUGAGGAGAGUAAGAGAGAGAGAGAUAAUGGGAUAAAAUGAUUUAGGGAUUUCUCGUGGGUGUUGAAUUUGGAAUAUAAUUAUUAAUAAUAAAAUAUUAAAUUAUUACAUGAUUUCUGAUUAAAUAUGUUUCAUACCUAAUUUUUGAAGUGUGGUCUUUAAAUACCUGCAAUGGUGUAAUUUUCCCUUCUUCUUUUUUUUUUUAAUCUUAAAUGGAAACUGGACUAGCUAAACUAUUUUACAUCGUGUAGUUUUGUAUGAUUAUGGGCCUUGGAACGAUAAAUAUGAGGAAAUUACAUAAAAUCCUGUAUUUUAAUUUUACACUUGAAAAUCAUGAUUCAAAUAAUUUUUUUUUCAAAAGUCAAGUAUCAAUACAAAAUCACCCUACCCCCAAACCGUACAAAAAUGAGACCUUACCCAACAUCACCCUACCCCACACAACCCAAACCUUAUGUAUAUCUGUUAUCUAUACCAACUCCGACCACCUCGAGGACGGUCGCACCCAUCGUCGACUACAACAUCCAGAAGGAGUCCAAUUUUCAUCUUGUUCUCCGCCUCUAGUGUAGUGCCAAGAAGCUAAGAUAGAUGAAAAAAUCUGUGUCUGCCAUCCUUCUCGUUCAUUUAGUGGUCGACACAGUGAUGAACACCGCUGUAGACGCAUAAUGCAUUUCUCGGUGGUGAUUCUUCUUCUCCACAACUGUGUUUUCUUGCACGAAUGCCAAUCAGUUAGACUGAGUCAAAUCAAAAGUCGAUCUGAUCGAAUUUCUUGACCUCCACAAUGAAGGAUUCCUCUUAAUUAAUGAUUGCGACUUCAGUAAUUUGAGGUAAUGGUUGAGCUAUGGGUAUUUUAAGCUGUGGAUGCUAUGGGUAGGGACGUGUUUACCUUAAAAUGCCGAUGCGGGGUUGAGCAUGGAUAGUUAGGAGAAAGUGAAGAGUGGAAAAUGGUAGCCACUAUAGAGAAGUCAAAGGUGAAAACAUGAUUGUAGACGGAGGUAAUGGUAACAUAAUAGUGGUGGAUUGUUGUUAUAAAUUUGAGAUAAUUGUUGUUGUGGCUUUGACAUUGUAGUGGUGAUUGUUAUUGUAGAUUUGAGGUGAAGGUGUUAUUUAUGGUUGUGGAUUUGAGUUGAAGGUGGUAGUGGUGAUGCAUUGGAAGUGAUGAUAGUGGUGAAUGGUAACGCUGGUCCACGAUGUAUGCAGAUUUAUUUGUGGUGAUCAUAUGUGAUCAAAAAUUUGUUUAUUAUGAUUGAUUAUGAUCAAUUCUGUGUUAAUUGUGACUUAAUUACAUACCAUCACAGUUAAGAUUGACCUGAUCACAGAUAGAUACGUUCAAAUAUAUGUUUAUUAUGACUAGUUGUAAUUGAUUCUGUGUUAAUUGUAACUUAAUUAUAUACUGUCACAGUUAAUAUUGACCUUAUCACAGAUAGAUACAUUAAAGACAAAUUUGAUCACAUUUAGUCAUAUUGAAGAUAAAUUUGAUCACAGUUA